rnacentral:tRNA from 2 species
GCCGGUGUAGUUCAAUGGUAGAACUCUUGCUUCCCAAGCAAGCGGCGCGGGUUCGAUUCCCGUCACCGGCUCCA